UCAAACUCCUGGGCUGAAGCUAUCCUCCUGCCUUGGCCUCCCAAAGUGUUGGGACUACAAGUGUGAAACACUCCACAUAUGGCCCAAACUCACUUUUAUACACACCUACUCUUGCAAUAACAAACACACUCCCGCAAUAACAACAUUAAUCCAUUUAUGAGGACAGAGCCCUUGUGAACCAAUCAUCUCUUGAAAGUCGUACCUCUCACUGUUGUUGCAUUGGGGAUUGUUUCCAAUACAUGAAUUUUGGGGGACAUAUUCAAAUUAUAGCACCUAUCUCUUUUGGUUCUACUCAUAGCAAAGGUGGCUACCUGGAUGUAGUGUGUAGCUCAGCAUUGACUGCUUAUAGGGCACUGGGAAAGGGGUUUGAGGUUCCCUUGCAUAGCAAACAGGAGCAUAUUAGACACCUCAGGUUUUACCACUUCUGGGAAUUCUUGCUGGUUCUGUUACUUCACUUUGUGACCUGCUCUUCCUACCUUGCUUCUUCACCUCUUUCCUCACUGGUUACGAAGCAUCCCAGGAGAUCAUCAAUGCAAUGAAAAAACCAUUCUCCCUGCAUCAGCGCAAAGAGUCAUUGUAUGUUUUUUUUUUUAACAGGUUCCAUCCUUCAUGGCCAAUCAUUUUAAUGGUAUUUUUUCUUCUUUAACCAAAUAAGCAGGAAACUAACACAAUUACACAGUCCAGUCUUCUGGUACCAGGAUCUUCCAUGAAUGGGAAACAUCAACUGAGUCUAUAAGCUAUAAAAAACUACAGGUUUCAGCAAUCUUGCUUCAAAGCCAGGUAGCACUUUAGCACCCAAAGGCAUUCUCCAUAGAGCUCUCUCUCUCUUUCUUGCUAUUACAGAUCUGAAAGAUUUUCAGGUUGAGGCAUAAUGGAAAAAAAUUAUCUUUACAAAAGAUGUUGGAAAGUCUCAUUCCUCGUUCAGCAAGCACUUCAUUUAGAGGAAAAGGUCCUGUGAAAGAGAGAAGGGUUGGUAUGGGGUGGGAAUUGAAGCUUGGCAAGCUGAUGAGAAGCAGAAGGUGAGAGAUGGAACUUUGGUUUCCUUAUGUAUGUAUAUAUAAAAAACAUAAUGUUUAGUUAGUCCUUCAAGAAGUAAAGCUAUACAAACUCAAUAUGUUGGUACUCAUUUCCUAACUAGCUUGAUCCUACUGAACACAAAUACAAUAAUGUUUCUUUUCUCCUUCAAUGCUCUCAUCUUAAAUUCAUUCAAUUGAAAAAAAACAGAGUCUUAAUGUCAUGUGCUCAGACGCUGUGAACAUUUUGCUUGUUUAGGACAAAAUACUUUUGAUUCUUGGAGAAGAAUUUCAAGGCCCUGACUCUCAGCUCAGUUUACACUCAUGUGUCAAGG